UUUCCGUAGGUGAACCUGCGGAAGGAUCAUUACUGUGACAGGUGCCCCCCCCCAGGGGGACCCUGCCAGAGAUAGCACCCCUUGUCUUUUCCGAGCACCCAACCGUUUCCUCGGCGGGCCCGCCCGCCAACGGGGACCAACCACAAACCUUAAACCGCAGUUAAGCAGUAAACCGUACAAAACCCAAAAAAUCAAAACUUUCAACAACGGAUCUCUUGGUUCUGGCAUCGAUGAAGAACGCAGC
rnacentral:misc_RNA from 1 species